UUUUAUGGAGAGUUUGAUCCUGGCUCAGAGUGAACGCUGGCGGCGUGCCUAAUACAUGCAAGUCGAACGAUGAAGCUUCUAGCUUGCUAGAAGUGGAUUAGUGGCGCACGGGUGAGUAAGGUAUAGUUAAUCUGCCCUACACAAGAGGACAACAGUUGGAAACGACUGCUAAUACUCUAUACUCCUGCUUAACACAAGUUGAGUAGGGAAAGUUUUUCGGUGUAGGAUGAGACUAUAUAGUAUCAGCUAGUUGGUAAGGUAAUGGCUUACCAAGGCUAUGACGCUUAACUGGUCUGAGAGGAUGAUCAGUCACACUGGAACUGAGACACGGUCCAGACUCCUACGGGAGGCAGCAGUAGGGAAUAUUGCGCAAUGGGGG
rnacentral:rRNA from 1 species